rnacentral:rRNA from 1 species
GUGGAGCCAACCUUGAAAUACCACCCUUUAAUGGCUGGUGUUCUAACGUAGACCCGUAAUCCGGGUUGCGGACAGUGUCUGGUGGGUAGUUUGACUGGGGCGGUCUCCUCCCAAAGAGUAACGGAGGAGCACGAAGGUUGGCUAAUCCUGGUCGGACAUCAGGAGGUUAGUGCAAUGGCAUAAGCCAGCUUGACUGCGAGCGUGACGGCGCGAGCAGGUGCGAAAGCAGGUCAUAGUGAUCCGGUGGUUCUGAAUGGAAGGGCCAUCGCUCAACGGAUAAAAGGUACUCCGGGGAUAACAGGCUGAUACCGCCCAAGAGUUCAUAUCGACGGCGGUGUUUGGCACCUCGAUGUCGGCUCAUCACAUCCUGGGGCUGAAGUAGGUCCCAAGGGUAUGGCUGUUCGCCAUUUAAAGUGGUACGCGAGCUGGGUUUAGAACGUCGUGAGACAGUUCGGUCCCUAUCUGCCGUGGGCGCUGGAGAAUUGAGGGGGGCUGCUCCUAGUACGAGAGGACCGGAGUGGACGCAUCACUGGUGUUCGGGUUGUCAUGCCAAUGGCACUGCCCGGUAGCUAAAUGCGGAAGAGAUAAGUGCUGAAAGCAUCUAAGCACGAAACUUGCCCCGAGAUGAGUUCUCCCUGAGACCUUGAGUCUCCUGAAGGAACGUUGAAGACGACGACGUUGAUAGGUCGGGUGUGUAAGCGCAGCGAUGCGUUGAGCUAACCGAUACUAAUGAACCGUGAGGCUUAACCUUACAACGCCGAAGGUGUUU